rnacentral:rRNA from 1 species
CACUAUGCCUGGCUGUAAACAUUGAUAAGAUAUUACACGCAUUAUCCGCCUGGGAACUACGAGCACUAGCUUAAAACCCCAAGGACUUGGCGGUGCUUCAGACCCCCCUAGAGGAGCCUGUUUCUAGAACCGAUAAUCCCCGUUCAACCUCACCCUUCCCUGUAAAUCCUGCCUAUAUACCGCCGUCGCCAGCCUACCCUGUGAAGGAUCUAAAGUGGGCUAAACUGGUACUACCCUAAAUGUCAGGUCGAGGUGUAGCAUAUGGAAGGGGAAGCAAUGGGCUACAUUCGCUGACCCAGCGAAUCACGAAAGACAUGCUGAAAAGCAUGUCUGAAGGUGGAUUUAGCAGUAAGGGGGGAGUAGAGCGCCCCCCUGAAGUUGGCUCUGAAGCGUGCACACAUCGCCCGUCACUCUCCCCGAAUUAGUCUACACCCGUAACUAACCACACGGACGCCGCCGAGGGGAGGCAAGUCGUAA